UGUCGGUUGCUAUGGAUACAUUGA
rnacentral:misc_RNA from 1 species